rnacentral:rRNA from 1 species
GGUUAAGCGACUAAGCGUACACGGUGGAUGCCCUGGCAGUCAGAGGCGAUGAAGGACGUGCUAAUCUGCGAUAAGCGUCGGUAAGGUGAUAUGAACCGUUAUAACCGGCGAUUUCCGAAUGGGGAAACCCAGUGUGAUUCGUCACACUAUCAUUAACUGAAUCCAUAGGUUAAUGAGGCGAACCGGGGGAACUGAAACAUCUAAGUACCCCGAGGAAAAGAAAUCAACCGAGAUUCCCCCAGUAGCGGCGAGCGAACGGGGAGGAGCCCAGAGCCUGAAUCAGUGUGUGUGUUAGUGGAAGCGUCUGGAAAGGCGCGCGAUACAGGGUGACAGCCCCGUACACAAAAAUGCACAUGCUGUGAGCUCGAUGAGUAGGGCGGGACACGUGGUAUCCUGUCUGAAUAUGGGGGGACCAUCCUCCAAGGCUAAAUACUCCUGACUGACCGAUAGUGAACCAGUACCGUGAGGGAAAGGCGAAAAGAACCCCGGCGAGGGGAGUGAAAAAGAACCUGAAACCGUGUACGUACAAGCAGUGGGAGCACGCUUCGGCGUGUGACUGCGUACCUUUUGUAUAAUGGGUCAGCGACUUAUAUUCUGUAGCAAGGUUAACCGAAUAGGGGAGCCGAAGGGAAACCGAGUCUUAACUGGGCGUUAAGUUGCAGGGUAUAGACCCGAAACCCGGUGAUCUAGCCAUGGGCAGGUUGAAGGUUGGGUAACACUAACUGGAGGACCGAACCGACUAAUGUUGAAAAAUUAGCGGAUGACUUGUGGCUGGGGGUGAAAGGCCAAUCAAACCGGGAGAUAGCUGGUUCUCCCCGAAAGCUAUUUAGGUAGCGCCUCGUGAAUUCAUCUCCGGGGGUAGAGCACUGUUUCGGCAAGGGGGUCAUCCCGACUUACCAACCCGAUGCAAACUGCGAAUACCGGAGAAUGUUAUCACGGGAGACACACGGCGGGUGCUAACGUCCGUCGUGAAGAGGGAAACAACCCAGACCGCCAGCUAAGGUCCCAAAGUCAUGGUUAAGUGGGAAACGAUGUGGGAAGGCCCAGACAGCCAGGAUGUUGGCUUAGAAGCAGCCAUCAUUUAAAGAAAGCGUAAUAGCUCACUGGUCGAGUCGGCCUGCGCGGAAGAUGUAACGGGGCUAAACCAUGCACCGAAGCUGCGGCAGCGACACUAUGUGUUGUUGGGUAGGGGAGCGUUCUGUAAGCCUGUGAAGGUGUACUGUGAGGUAUGCUGGAGGUAUCAGAAGUGCGAAUGCUGACAUAAGUAACGAUAAAGCGGGUGAAAAGCCCGCUCGCCGGAAGACCAAGGGUUCCUGUCCAACGUUAAUCGGGGCAGGGUGAGUCGACCCCUAAGGCGAGGCCGAAAGGCGUAGUCGAUGGGAAACAGGUUAAUAUUCCUGUACUUGGUGUUACUGCGAAGGGGGGACGGAGAAGGCUAUGUUGGCCGGGCGACGGUUGUCCCGGUUUAAGCGUGUAGGCUGGUUUUCCAGGCAAAUCCGGAAAAUCAAGGCUGAGGCGUGAUGACGAGGCACUACGGUGCUGAAGCAACAAAUGCCCUGCUUCCAGGAAAAGCCUCUAAGCAUCAGGUAACAUCAAAUCGUACCCCAAACCGACACAGGUGGUCAGGUAGAGAAUACCAAGGCGCUUGAGAGAACUCGGGUGAAGGAACUAGGCAAAAUGGUGCCGUAACUUCGGGAGAAGGCACGCUGAUAUGUAGGUGAAGNNNNNNNNNNNNNNNNNNNNNNNNNNNNNNNNNNNNNNNNNNNNNNNNNNNNNNNNNNNNNNNNNNNNNNNNNNNNNNNNNNNNNNNNNNNNNNNNNNGCGAAGCUCUUGAUCGAAGCCCCGGUAAACGGCGGCCGUAACUAUAACGGUCCUAAGGUAGCGAAAUUCCUUGUCGGGUAAGUUCCGACCUGCACGAAUGGCGUAAUGAUGGCCAGGCUGUCUCCACCCGAGACUCAGUGAAAUUGAACUCGCUGUGAAGAUGCAGUGUACCCGCGGCAAGACGGAAAGACCCCGUGAACCUUUACUAUAGCUUGACACUGAACAUUGAGCCUUGAUGUGUAGGAUAGGUGGGAGGCUUUGAAGUGUGGACGCCAGUCUGCAUGGAGCCGACCUUGAAAUACCACCCUUUAAUGUUUGAUGUUCUAACGUUGGCCCGUUAUCCGGGUUGCGGACAGUGUCUGGUGGGUAGUUUGACUGGGGCGGUCUCCUCCUAAAGAGUAACGGAGGAGCACGAAGGUUGGCUAAUCCUGGUCGGACAUCAGGAGGUUAGUGCAAUGGCAUAAGCCAGCUUGACUGCGAGCGUGACGGCGCGAGCAGGUGCGAAAGCAGGUCAUAGUGAUCCGGUGGUUCUGAAUGGAAGGGCCAUCGCUCAACGGAUAAAAGGUACUCCGGGGAUAACAGGCUGAUACCGCCCAAGAGUUCAUAUCGACGGCGGUGUUUGGCACCUCGAUGUCGGCUCAUCACAUCCUGGGGCUGAAGUAGGUCCCAAGGGUAUGGCUGUUCGCCAUUUAAAGUGGUACGCGAGCUGGGUUUAGAACGUCGUGAGACAGUUCGGUCCCUAUCUGCCGUGGGCGCUGGAGAACUGAGGGGGGCUGCUCCUAGUACGAGAGGACCGGAGUGGACGCAUCACUGGUGUUCGGGUUGUCAUGCCAAUGGCACUGCCCGGUAGCUAAAUGCGGAAGAGAUAAGUGCUGAAAGCAUCUAAGCACGAAACUUGCCCCGAGAUGAGUUCUCCCUGACUCC